rnacentral:rRNA from 1 species
UACGAAGGGGGCUAGCGUUGUUCGGAUUUACUGGGCGUAAAGCGCACGUAGGCGGAUCGUUAAGUCGGGGGUGAAAUCCUGGAGCUCAACUCCAGAACUGCCUUCGAUACUGGCGAUCUCGAGUCCGGAAGAGGUGAGUGGAACUCCUAGUGUAGAGGUGGAAUUCGUAGAUAUUCGCAAGAACACCGGUGGCGAAGGCGGGUCUCUGGGCAGUAACUGACGCUGAGGAGCGAAAGCGUGGGGAGCGAACAGG